rnacentral:ncRNA from 2 species
UCUUUUUAUAUGAAAGUAUCUCGUAUAAUGCCGGGAAUAGGCCCGGACGUCUCUACCUGGGAACCGUAAAUUUCCGGACUACGAGGGAAUACUAGUCAGGU